rnacentral:rRNA from 1 species
CGCCUGUUUAUCAAAAACAUGUCCUUUUGUUAAUUAUUUAAGGUCUGGCCUGCUCAAUGACUUGUUAAAUAGCCGCAGUAUUUUGACUGUGCAAAGGUAGCAUAAUCAUUAGUUUUUUAAUUGAAAGCUGGAAUGAAUGGUUGGAUGAGGAAGUGACUGUCUCAUUUUUAUUUUAUUGAAUUUUAUUUUUAAGUUAUAAAGCUUAAAUGUUAUAGAAAGACGAGAAGACCCUAUAGAGUUUAAUAAGUUAUGACUCGAUUUUUUUAGGUUUUAAUUUUUAAUUAGGUUUAAUCUUAUUUUGUUGGGGUGAUGUGAAAAUUGGUGUAACUUUUCAUUAUUUUUACAUUGAUUUGUGAUUAGUUGAUCCUGAAGUUUUGGAUUUUAAGUAUAAAUUACCUUAGGGAUAACAGCGUGAUUCUUUUAGAGAGUUCUAAUCGAUAAGAGAGAUUGCGACCUCGAUGUUGGAUUAAAGUUAAUUUUUGGUGCAGAAGCUGAGAUUUUAAGUCUGUUCGACUUUUAAAACUUUACGUGAUCUGAGUUUAGACCGG